AGCAAGACUGAAUGACCAGUAAGAAAACUCAAGGCAACACCAAAAUCGUACCAGACAGAUCCCCAAGUUAUUUUAAAUCUGAAAAUAACUCACCAGGAACAGCUAGUUGCCCAGAAAAGAAACUAAAAUUGGAACUCCAAAAUUGAACUGUCCGUAGAAAUAAACCAAGUUUGCUGCCAAAUUGAUCGAAAACAAAUCAAUAAUAGAGCCAAGAAUCAGAGGAAAGCUGAAGCAACCCUCUGUAGCGAUGAUACAAAGUCACCGAAAUAAACACAAAUACAGAACUAGACGAAACCAAUUAAACCUGCACCACACUGACUGGUAGUCACACAGCCACGACCUGGCUGAAAUCCUCAAAUUUUGAACUUGAAGCAAACUGAAUCUAAACAAGAUGAUGAAGACCCAAAUUGUUAAGUUCAACCAACUCCCAUGCAACCAAAAGAAAAACGGGGAAAAAGAAGAAGAAGAAGAAGGUGCAUGCCUGGUGAUAGGUGGUUUAAAAGGAAAUAUUUCAAGCACAAGAGCAUGCUUAUUUGAUCUUGGAUUUUCAUGAAUUGCCAGUAGAAUUAU
rnacentral:lncRNA from 1 species